rnacentral:rRNA from 1 species
UACGUAGGGGCAAGCGUUGUCCGGAUUUAUUGGGCGUAAAGAGCGUGUAGGCGGCCAUGUAGGUCCGUUGUGAAAACUCGAGGCUCAACCUCGAGACGCCGAUGGAAACCAUGUGGCUAGAGUCCGGAAGAGGAGAGUGGAAUUCCUGGUGUAGCGGUGAAAUGCGCAGAUAUCAGGAAGAACACCCGUGGCUAAGGCGGCUCUCUAGUACGGUACUGGACGCUGAGACGCGAAAGCGUGGGGAGCGAACAGG